rnacentral:rRNA from 1 species
GACGAACGCUGGCGGCGUGCCUAAUACAUGCAAGUAGAACGCUGAAGGAGGAGCUUGCUUCUCUGGAUGAGUUGCGAACGGGUGAGUAACGCGUAGGUAACCUGCCUGGUAGCGGGGGAUAACUAUUGGAAACGAUAGCUAAUACCGCAUAAUAGCAGUUGUUGCAUGAUAACUGUUUGAAAGGUGCAAUUGCACUACUACCAGAUGGACCUGCGUUGUAUUAGUUAGUUGGUGGGGUAACGGCUCACCAAGGCGACGAUACAUAGCCGACCUGAGAGGGGGGUCGGCCACGCUGGGACGGAGACACGGCCCAGAAUCCUACGGGAGGCAGCAGGAGGGGAUCUUCCGCAAUGGACGGAAGUCUGACCGAGCAACGCCGCGGGAGUGAAGAAGGGUUUCGGAUCGUAAAGCUCUGUUGUAAGAGAAGAACGAGUGUGAGAGUGGAAAGUUCACACUGUGACGGUACCUUACCAGAAAGGGACGGCUAACUACGUG